UUGGCGGCCUUUUUUCUUCUCAGAGGAACUCGUAUCUUAAUCCGAUAAUCCCCGUUAUUUCUUUCUUCUUUUAAGUAUUUAUAUCGCCGUCUUUUUGAAAAAAAUCUAAAUUAUUUUCAAAAAAAUCAAAACUAUAACGUCAGGUCGAGAUGAAACUUAUAUUUAAGCGAACCGAGUUACACAUUUUCAUUAUGAACCCUCAAUUUACCAAACCUUAUUUGAAUAAAGGAUUUGAUAGUAAAUCUAAGGUAAUUUCUUAUUUCGAACAAGAUCUCAAAGGUGUACAUAUCGCCCGUCACCCUCAUCAAAAGAUGAGGUAAGUCGUAACACAGUUAAUAUACUGGAAAGUGUAUUAAGAG
rnacentral:rRNA from 1 species